rnacentral:rRNA from 1 species
AUACGGAGGAUCCGAGCGUUGUCCGGAUUUAUUGGGUUUAAAGGGUGCGCAGGCGGGAGAUUAAGUCGGCGGUGAAAUUUUGCAGCUCAACUGUAAAAGUGCCUUCGAAACUGGUUUCCUUGAGUGGAGAUGAAGUAGGCGGAAUUUGUGGUGUAGCGGUGAAAUGCAUAGAUAUCACGAGGAACUCCGAUUGCGCAGGCAGCUUACUAAACUACUACUGACGCUCAGGCACGAAGGCGUGGGGAUCAAACAGGAUUAGAUACCCUGGUAGUCCACGCAGUAAACUAUGAUUACUCGCUGUUUGCGAUACACAGCAAGCGGCUUAGCGAAAGCGUUAAGUAAUCCACCUGGGGAGUACGUUCGCAAGAAUGAAACUCAAAUGAAUUGGCGGGG